CCUUCACUCAAGGCUGAAGAAAGCCCGGGCCACCAGAGUCCUCCACCCACGUGUCAGCAGUCAGAGCGUGCAGCUGAGACAUCUCUUCAGCUUUCCCAUGAAUCCUCUCCCUCCUGCCUCCUUGGCCAAAAUGGAAGUGCAAGGGAAAGGAUCUGCAGAGUCAGAACUUGAAUCAUCUCCAUUCAUCAAGGACUUAAGUGUUUCCUAACUCUUCUUCACAGGACCUACAAAAGAUGACUGUUCUAUCAGUCGUCAGUGCCCUCUGAUGGCUGCCCUGCAAUGAAAUGCAAUGACUUAGUUCUUGGAGCUGGAGUGGAAGAGAAAUGACCCGCAGAAGCUGUAUUCAUUUAAUGCAUCUUUAAAAAAAAAAAAAAAAAAAAAAAAAAAAGGAAAAAAAAAAAAGAAAGAAAGAAAAAAAGAAAAAACCCAACAACACAUGGUUCUGGCACUGAGAGAAAGGAUGGCUAGCAAAUACAGACAAGCCAGAUCUGUGUGGGUGAAUCAGAGGCCUUCUCUGUGUGAACAUGUCACAUGAAAAACAUAAGGAAGACUCCCUUUCUGUGAAAACUGGGGUUUGAGAGUGGCAGAAGCAUUCCUGUUUCCCCUGCCUCUCAUAUAAAGCAGACUUUCGUGAGGCAAAUUACUGUAGGAUGGUAAUGUUCCAAUAACUCUGUGACAUAAAAUCUGAGAAGCACA